UACGUAAGGGGCAAGCGUUAUCCGGAUUUACUGGGUGUAAAGGGUGAGUAGGCGGUUCGGCAAGUCAUAUGUGAAAUACCUGGGCUCAACCCAGGAACCGCAUAAGAAACUGUCGGACUUGAGUACAGGAGAGGUAAGCGGAAUUCCCAGUGUAGCGGUGAAAUGCGUAGAUAUUGGGAAGAACACCGGUGGCGAAGGCGGCUUACUGGACUGAAACUGACGCUGAGUCACGAAAGCGUGGGGAGCGAACA
rnacentral:rRNA from 1 species